CAGUCGAACGAAACUUUUUUUAUCACCGAGUGCUUGCACUCACCGAUAAAGAGUUGAGUGGCGAACGGGUGAGUAACACGUGGGCAACCUGCCCAAAAGAGGGGGAUAACACUUGGAAACAGGUGCUAAUACCGCAUAACCAUAGUUACCGCAUGGUAACUAUGUAAAAGGUGGCUAUGCUACCGCUUUUGGAUGGGCCCGCGGCGCAUUAGCUAGUUGGUGGGGUAAAGGCUUACCAAGGCAAUGAUGCGUAGCCGAACUGAGAGGUUGAUCGGCCACAUUGGGACUGAGACACGGCCCAAACUCCUACGGGAGGCAGCAGUAGGGAAUCUUCCACAAUGGGCGAAAGCCUGAUGGAGCAACGCCGCGUGGGUGAAGAAGGUCUUCGGAUCGUAAAACCCUGUUGUUAGAGAAGAAAGUGCGCGAGAGUAACUGUUCACGUUUCGACGGUAUCUAACCAGAAAGCCACGGCUAACUACGUGCCAGCAGCCGCGGUAAUACGUAGGUGGCAAGCGUUAUCCGGAUUUAUUGGGCGUAAAGGGAACGCAGGCGGUCUUUUAAGUCUGAUGUGAAAGCCUUCGGCUUAACCGGAGUAGUGCAUUGGAAACUGGGAGACUUGAGUGCAGAAGAGGAGAGUGGAACUCCAUGUGUAGCGGUGAAAUGCGUAGAUAUAUGGAAGAACACCAGUGGCGAAAGCGGCUCUCUGGUCUGUAACUGACGCUGAGGUUCGAAAGCGUGGGUAGCAAACAGGAUUAGAUACCCUGGUAG
rnacentral:rRNA from 1 species